GCACGGCUGAGGAACACGUGACUAACCUACCCCGGUGUGGGGGAUAACGGGUCGAAAGACUCGCUAAUCCCGCAUACGAUCCGCCUCGGCGGAGGAAAGCCGUAAGGCGCACUGGGCGGGGGUCGCGUCCCAUUAGAUAGUUGGUGUGGUAAUGGCGCACCAAGUCGAUGAUGGGUCUCUGGUCUGAGAGGACGACCAGACAGACUGGGACUGAGACACGGCCCAAACUCCUACGGGGGGCAGCAGCAAGGAAUUUUCGGCAAUGGGCGCAAGCCUGACCGAGCAACGCCGCGUGGAGGAUGACGGCUCUUGGGUUGUAAACUCCUUUUGGGGGGGACGAUAAUGACGGUACCCUCCGAAUCAGGCCCGGCUAACUACGUGCCAGCAGCCGCGGUAAUACGUAGGGGCCAAGCGUUGUCCGGAAUUACUGGGCGUAAAGCGUGGGUAGGUGGUCGGUGAUGUGCCGCGUGAAAGCGCCGGAGUAAUGCCGGCGAGGUCGCGGUAGACACACGGACUCGAGGCUCGCAGAGGAACGUGGAAUUCCCGGUGUAGUGGUGAAAUGCGUAGAUAUCGGGAGGAACACCAGUGGCGCAAGCGGCGUUCUGGGCGAGACCUGACACUGAGCCACGACGGCGUGGGGAGCAAACAGGAUUAGAUACCCUGGUAGUCCACGCAGUAAACGAUGCAUACCAGGUGUGGGAUGGCGUUCGCGUCGUUCCGUGCCGCAGCUUACGCGAUGAGUAUGCCGCCUGGGGACUACGAGCGCAAGCUUAAAACUCAAAGGAAUUGACGGGGGCCCGCACAAGCAGCGGAGCGUGUGGUUUAAUUCGACGNCACGCGAAGAACCUUACCUAGUCUUGACAUACAGCUGCAAGC
rnacentral:rRNA from 1 species